UACGGCCACAUUAUGUUGAAACACCUGUUCCCGUACAAUCACCGAAGUUAAGCAAUGCCCAGCCUUGUUAGCACCUAGGUGGGAGUCCUCUUGGGAAUACCAGGUGCCGUAAG